rnacentral:rRNA from 1 species
UACAGAGGGGGCAAGCGUUGUUCGGAAUUACUGGGCGUAAAGGGCGCGUAGGCGGCCUGUUAAGUCGAACGUGAAAUCCCCGGGCUCAACCCGGGAACUGCGUCCGAUACUGGCAGGCUUGAAUCCGGGAGAGGGAUGCGGAAUUCCAGGUGUAGCGGUGAAAUGCGUAGAUAUUGGGAAGAACACCGGUGGCGAAGGCGGCGACCUGGUCCUUGACUGACGCUGAGGCGCGAAAGCGUGGGGAGCAAACAGG